UGUUUGAAAUUAUGGAUUCUACAGACCAAAUUCAACAGAUUUGAUCUGAUUUAUUUCAUAAAUAUCUCGGCUCUUUUGGGAUACAUACUUACCCAUCAAAAAAUCUUUUUUAAUCCGACUUCACUUUUUAGCCGGUCUCAAGCAGUACCUACCUCCAUCGCUAGCUAUCUAAAACGACGACACUCUUCCGAUGCGAAGACCGAAGGAACUAGUCAACUCUGCAAUUCUCAACAAAGACCAACAUUCUUAGGGAUGAGUACUAUUCACCAUCACCACUUCGAAUUCGGCGCUGUCAUCAUCAUUCCGGUCCAUCCGCCAUCGAGGUGUACUCUUAAGGUAGCUACUAGUAGUCAAUCAAAGUGACUAUAUGGUGUUUCACUACUAGUAGCUUCAAUUGAGAACAAAAUAUACGUAUCAAGUUAUUUAUUUUUUAAGUUAUCACUGUUACAAGAAGAUCUUUGUAAUACAAAAAAAGAAACUUAUUUCAUUUGUU